rnacentral:tRNA from 1 species
AGGAAUGUGGCUUAGUGGUAAAGUGCUUGCCUGGCAUGCAUGAAGUCCUGGGUUUGAUUCCUCAGUACUA